rnacentral:lncRNA from 1 species
UCUGCCAAAACAUUUUUUUUUUAUUUUAAAACGUAAUGUUGUAUAUAUACAUAUAUCACUAAUGAAAUAUAAACUGUGAAUAAAUAUUUCUAUAAAAAAAAAGUUGUGUAUGUUUCAUACACUUUGAAAUGAUUUUUAUUAAUUUUUGUUUCCACUUUUGAAGGGACAGACCCAUUUCAAGCCAAAUCACUCUUUAAAACAAUAAUCAGUGUAUGACAACACAGACAUUCAUGUGAUAAAGAUUUGAAAUGAACUGUAUUAUUUAGAAGAUCAGGGACUUUCUAUACUAAUGGGACUCAUCUCUAAUGAUUUUAACUGAUUACUAAGCCACCUGUUUAAAGCUACCAUUCAACAAUAAACUUAGUUUCAUAUCUCUGAUAUACGAUGCUGAGUAGUUAUUUGCGUAUUUCACAGUACAUUGCAGUUACAUAAUUAAUAUUAGUUGUUAAUAUAAAUUCUGAUUAAUAGCCAUUUAGAAUGACAAAAAAUAUAAGAUUUUGAAAGAAUGAUGAAUUAUUAAACUUAGACGUAUCAUUUUGAAGAAAAUCCCAGUUGUGUAAACUGGUUUACAUAUCAAACAAGAUGGCAGCUACAGAAAAUUCAACAAACAAAUACCUCAAAGUUCAAAGAUCAAUAUUUGAAAAAUGAUCCGAGAAAUCUUUUGAAAAACAGCAUUUUGUAAUGACAAAAUAUUUAAAAUUUCUUAAAAAUGAUUUUUAGUUAAACUUGAACUUAUAGUUAUGAAGAACACGUCGUAAAUGUGAAAUGAUUUGCUAUAAAGUCACGUGAUAUCAGCUACAGUCGAGAUAAGUCUGAUAAUUUGUAUAGACAUCGUUAUAAGUGACCAGUCCCGUUAGUAUAGAAAGUUCCUGAGAAGAUUAAGAAUAUUUUCAUUGAAAUGUUAAAAUAAAACGUACCAGUGAUUUUACUUAGAGUAGUUAUGUCCCUUUGUUUUAGAUUAUCGUCCUAAAACAGUUAUCAAUAAAUAAUUAGUAUUGACUAACCAAUAGGAACAAUUAGAAUGCCCGAAACAAGUACAUUUAUCCUAUCUUUACUGAAAGACCCAAGAUUUCAAAAGUUGUAUUUUUGACAAAUUAUUAUAAACCUUUAAAACCGCUUAACUUUUAACUACAAUUAACAAAAUACCUGAAUUUAUAAAUAGUUUUCAAUAUUUUAACAGAAUAAGGUUUAACUGUAAACAGUAAAUAUAUUAUAAGCCAAAUAUCUUUAAGAACAAUCUUUAAAAAAUUCUUCCGCAAGGUUGUUUUUGAUUUAUGUUUUAGUGGAAGUUCCAAAGUUAAUAAAAUAAUUAUGGCCAAAAGAUGAAAGAAAUGACAGAAACUAAACAGAUUCUGAAAUGUUGAAUCACACUCUGAUUCCAAGCAUGUUUACACAACAAGGCAAUAACAAAAAUCUGAUUCCAGUUAACAUUUGAAAUGUUAUGUAACUUAAAACCAUAUAUAAGUCAAAUAAUAGAUUAUCUAUAUAUAGAAUAACAAUAUUGUACUUUACAAGCACGUACCACAGACAAUUUUCUUAUCAAUCAUAACAUAAAUACUGUAUAUCAUAUAU